GGUCUCGUUGGUGACCAGCGGAGGGAUCAUUA
rnacentral:rRNA from 1 species